rnacentral:rRNA from 1 species
UACGUAGGGGGCAAGCGUUGUCCGGAAUCAUUGGGCGUAAAGCGCGUGUAGGCGGUUUCGUAAGUCUGCUGUGAAAGUCGGAGGCUCAACCUUCGAAAGCCGGUGGAUACUGUGAGACUUGAGUACGGAAGAGGAGAGUGGAAUUCCUGGUGUAGCGGUGAAAUGCGCAGAUAUCAGGAGGAACACCAACGGCGAAGGCAGCUCUCUGGGACGUUACUGACGCUGAGAAGCGAAAGCAUGGGGAGCGAACAGG